rnacentral:rRNA from 1 species
AACGAACGCUGGCGGCGCGCCUAAUACAUGCAAGUCGAGCGAGAAGGUGUAGCAAUACACUUGUAAAGCGGCGAACGGGUGAGGAAUACAUGGGUAAUCUACCAUCGAGUGGGGAAUAACCAACCGAAAGGUUGGCUAAUACCGCGUACGCCUCCGAAUCUUCGGGUUCGGAGGGAAAGCUGCACUGUGAGUGUAGCGCUCUUUGAUGAGCUCAUGUCCUAUCAGCUUGUUGGUAGGGUAACGGCCUACCAAGGCUUUGACGGGUAGCUGGUCUGAGAGGACGAUCAGCCACACUGGCACUGCGACACGGGCCAGACUCCUACGGGAGGCAGCAGUAAGGAAUAUUGCGCAAUGGGCGAAAGCCUGACGCAGCGACGCCGCGUGGGGGAUGAAGGUCUUCGGAUUGUAAACCCCUUUCGGGAGGGAAGAUGGAGCGAGCAAUCGUUCGGACGGUACCUCCAGAAGCAGCCACGGCCAACUUCGUGCCAGCAG